rnacentral:rRNA from 1 species
UACGAAGGGGGCUAGCGUUGCUCGGAAUCACUGGGCGUAAAGCGCACGUAGGCGGCUUCUUAAGUCAGGGGUGAAAUCCUGGAGCUCAACUCCAGAACUGCCUUUGAUACUGAGGAGCUUGAGUCCGGGAGAGGUGAGUGGAACUCCGAGUGUAGAGGUGAAAUUCGUAGAUAUUCGGAAGAACACCAGUGGCGAAGGCGGCUCACUGGCCCGGUACGUGACGCUGAGGUGCGGAAAGCGUGGGGAGCAAACAGGG